rnacentral:lncRNA from 1 species
GUAAAACAAUUUUCUAUAGUAAAAAUAGUCAGACAAAGAGAAAGAAAAGGUCUGAUCACUGCUCGGUUGCUAGGAGCAACAGUCGCAACAGCUGAAACGCUCACAUUUUUAGAUGCUCACUGUGAGUGUUUCUAUGGUUGGCUAGAACCUCUGUUGGCCAGAAUAGCUGAGAACUACACGGCUGUCGUAAGUCCAGAUAUUGCAUCCAUAGAUCUGAACACGUUUGAAUUCAACAAACCUUCUCCUUAUGGAAGUAACCAUAACCGUGGAAAUUUUGACUGGAGUCUUUCAUUUGGCUGGGAGUCGCUUCCUGAUCAUGAGAAGCAAAGAAGGAAAGAUGAAACCUACCCAAUUAAAACACCCACUUUUGCAGGAGGACUUUUUUCCAUAUCAAAAGAAUAUUUUGAGUAUAUUGGAAGCUAUGAUGAAGAAAUGGAAAUCUGGGGAGGUGAAAAUAUAGAAAUGUCUUUCAGAGUAAGUUUAUGGAAAUUAAAUAUAGCAGAUAUAUUAAACAAUGAAAUAUAUUGUGUUCUAAUCGGCUGGUACAUAUGAUUACAGAUGUGUGCACUCUACUUUUUGUGCUUUCUGAAACUUAAUUGCUGG